GACGAACGCUGGCGGCACGCUUAACACAUGCAAGUCGAACGAGAGAAGAGAAGCUUGCUUUUCUGAUCUAGUGGCGGACGGGUGAGUAACACGUGAGCAAUCUGCCUUUCAGAGGGGGAUACCGAUUGGAAACGAUCGUUAAUACCGCAUAACAUAAUUGAACCGCAUGAUUUGAUUAUCAAAGAUUUAUCGCUGAAAGAUGAGCUCGCGUCUGAUUAGCUAGUUGGUAAGGUAACGGCUUACCAAGGCGACGAUCAGUAGCCGGACUGAGGGGUUGAUCGGCCACAUUGGGACUGAGACACGGCCCAGACUCCUACGGGAGGCAGCAGUGGGGAAUAUUGCACAAUGGAGGAAACUCUGAUGCAGCGAUGCCGCGUGAGGGAAGAAGGUUUUAGGAUUGUAAACCUCUGUCUUCAGGGACGAAAAAAGACGGUACCUGAGGAGGAAGCUCCGGCUAACUACGUG
rnacentral:rRNA from 1 species